rnacentral:rRNA from 1 species
AGAGUUUGAUUCUGGCUCAGGAUGAACGUUGGCUGUGUGCCUCACGCUUGCAAGUCGAACGAACCCUUUGCAACUUCGAUUGAUGUGGGUUACUGGCUGACCGGCCUACUCUACGUGCAUAACCCGCCCUGAAAUCUUGAGCUGCUCCCCGAAACACGGGAUCAUACGUGACCUUCGUACAUCAUCUAUAUAUCUUGUUAGUAUGGUUCCGGCUCUUCUUAACGGGUCCGCAUCCUAUCAGCCUAUUGGUGAGGUAAUAGCUCACCGGUGCUAAAACAGGAUCCUGGCCUGAGAGCCCGAUCCGCCACCCUGAAACUGACACAAGGUCCCUACUCCUACAGUAGGCCACUGUUAGCAAUCCUGACCCAUGGGUGCCACCCUGACGCAGCAACUCUUCGUAUAGGAAAAUUGUCUUCAGAUUGAUAACUCCUUUUCUAUGCCACGAAAAGAUGACCCUACCAUAUACAUACCCACCUGCUCACUACUUCCCAGAAGCCUCGCUUAUGCCUAAGGCGCUGACCUUAUCCGGAUUUAUUGUGUGUAUACAGAGCGUAGACGUUUUUGUAAGUCUUUAGUUAAAGAACACGUCUCAACCGUGGAAGAGAUUCGGUUAUUGCAUAAAUUGAGACAGGAAGAGGCGCACAGAAUUUCAGUGGAGUGGUGAAGUGCGUUGAUAAUGGGAGGAAUAUCAGUGGAGAAGGCGGUUCGAUGUCAUUGUCUGACGUUAAGGCUAGAAGAGUGGGUAGCAAAACGGAUCAGAUACCGGUGUAGUACACGCUGUUAACUAUCGAUGAUAGGUGUUUGGUAUAUUGGAGUAGUGAGUGCAGCAGUUAACACGUUAAGCAUGCCAGAUGGGAAGUACGGCAGCAAGGGUAAAAGUCAAAUGAAUGGGCGGGGAGCGGCACAAGUGGAGGAGUGCGUGGUAUAAUUAGAAGCCAAUCGAAGAACCUUAACAGUGUGUGACAAGUAUAGCAUGCCCCCAGAAACGGGGGAGCAUUCGGGGUGAUACACAGGUGGUGCAUGGCCGCCGUCAGAUGGUGUGGUGAGACGUAGGGUUAAGUCCAGCAACGAGCGCAACCCCUAUCAUAUGUUACAAGCGUUUUAGGAAGAUGCCUGGGUAAACUAGGAGGAAGGUGGGGAUGACGUCUGGUCAGCAUAGCCCUUAUGUCCUGGGCUACACACGCGCUACAAUGGCCGAUACAGUAGGGUGCCAAAUAGUAAUAUGGAGCAAAUCCUCAAAGUCGGUUUCAGUUUGAAAUGAGGUGUGAAACUUGACCUCCUGAAGUUGGAUUCGGUAGUAAUUGUAGAUCAGCCAUGUUGCGGUGAAUACGUUCUCGGGUCUUGCACUCACCCCCGUC